CAGAUGAUCUGGUUCUGAUUCUUCAGGUUGUUCUGACCCUUUUUCUGGUCGAGGAUGGAGAUAGAGUGUGAUCCAGCAGCUUCAGAGCCACAGCAGUGACAUCCCAACCGUGCUGAGUCAUCAUCAGUCGACCGGUGAACGCUCAUGAAGGCGAGUCAAAUCAAGAAGCUGCUUGUGACUCAAACUGCAGACACAGACACUCGACGUGUGGAAAUCCUGUGACGAUAACUUAAGACUUCAUCAUGGAGCGCCAACAUCAGGUCUCCUGAUGAUCUUUUUGUGCCUCUAUGUGCAUCCAUGGGCGAAGCAAGGGGGGAGAAAUGGCACUGAUUACCUUGAAG